rnacentral:rRNA from 1 species
UACGGAGGGUGCGAGCGUUGUCCGGAAUCACUGGGCGUAAAGGGCGCGUAGGCGGCUCAUGAAGGCUGUGGUGAAAGUCCGGGGCUCAACCUCGGAUCGGCCGUGGCGACUCGUGGGCUGGAGCACUGUAGAGGCGGGUGGAAUUCCGGGUGUAGCGGUGGAAUGCGUAGAUACCCGGAGGAACACCAGUGGCGAAGGCGGCUUCCUGGUCUGCGACUGACGCUGUGGCGCGAAAGCUAGGGGAGCAAACGGG